UACGUAGGGGGCAAGCGUUGUCCGGAUUCAUUGGGCGUAAAGAGCGUGUAGGCGGCCAGGUAGGUCUGCUGUGAAAACUCGAGGCUCAACCUCGAGAUGUCGGCGGAAACCAUCUGGCUAGAGUCCGGAAGAGGAAAGUGGAAUUCCUGGUGUAGCGGUGAAAUGCGCAGAUAUCAGGAAGAACACCCGUGGCGAAGGCGGCUUUCUGGGACGGUACUGACGCUGGAGACGCGAAAGCGUGGGGAGCGAACAGG
rnacentral:rRNA from 1 species